rnacentral:rRNA from 1 species
GUGCCAGCCGCCGCGGUAAUACGUAGGUGGCAAGCGUUGUCCGGAUUUAUUGGGCGUAAAGCGAGCGCAGGCGGUUUCUUAAGUCUGAUGUGAAAGCCCCCGGCUCAACCGGGGAGGGUCACUGGAAACUGGGAAACUUGAGUGCAGAAGAGGAGAGUGGAAUUCCAUGUGUAGCGGUGAAAUGCGUAGAUAUAUGGAGAACACCAGUGGCGAAGGCGGCUCUCUGGUCUGUAACUGACGCUGAGGCUCGAAAGCGUGGGAGCAAACAGGAUUAGAUACCCUGGUAGUCCACGCCGUAAACGAUGAGUGCUAAGUGUUGGAGGUUUCCGCCCUUCAGUGCUGCAGCUAACGCAUUAAGCACUCCGCCUGGGAGUACGACCGCAAGGUUGAAACUCAAAGGAAUUGACGGGGCCGCACAAGCGGUGAGCAUGUGGUUAAUUCGAAGCAACGCGAAGAACCUUACCAAGGUCUUGACAUCCUUUGACCACUCUAGAGAUAGAGCUUCCCUCGGGGUC